rnacentral:rRNA from 1 species
UACGUAGGUGGCAAGCGUUGUCCGGAAUCACUGGGCGUAAAGAGCGCGCAGGCGGUCGUUCAAGUCGCGUGUGAAAGCCCCCGGCUCAACUGGGGAGGGUCACGCGAUACUGAUCGACUCGAAGGCAGGAGAGGGUAGUGGAAUUCCCGGUGUAGUGGUGAAAUGCGUAGAUAUCGGGAGGAACACCAGUGGCGAAGGCGACUACCUGGCCUGUUCUUGACGCUGAGGCGCGAAAGCUAGGGGAGCAAACGGG